UUGUCUAGAGAGACUAACACUCAUACUGAAACUAGAAGGACGCAGAGAAGGUUAGCAUCUCCUCUGCACAAAGAUGACAAGCAAAUUCACGAAGUGUUCCAUAUUUUU
rnacentral:snRNA from 1 species